rnacentral:tRNA from 2 species
GCUCACGUGGCCCAGCGGCAACGGCAACUCCCUGUCCAGGAGUCGAUCGCGGGUUCGAGUCCCGUCGUGAGCG